rnacentral:lncRNA from 1 species
AUCAUCAAAUUCUUUUUUGUGGUGUGAUCAAGAUCCCAGCUUCACAUUCACGAAGGCCCUUAAGAGGGGACCUCCACAGGGUACAGGUUAUACAGGGAGGCCCUUGACAAAAUGAAUUGGGAACAGGGAAUCAAGAACAGACCUGGGCAGGGGAACUAGGUCACUUCAGGUCUUACAAUGUCUGUGGGAAUUCUGGGCAUUGUGUUCCUCAUGGAGCCCAGCACUUGACUCUCUUCUCUUGAUGGUGAUACCAGUUUCUUCUGGGCUUCCUCAAGAGCAGGAGGGCUCCUGUUCUCUCACUCCUAUCUCCUUUGGAGCUUGCCUACUUAAUCUCGACCAUACUUGUUCCCCUUCGAGUGUAACUGCCUAUCCGACAGGGAUGGAUAUACUUCAGAGAGACACUCUUAAGCUUUCAGACUACGAAAAGGAUGGACCCCAAGAAUCUCUUACUGGAGAAAACGAAGUCUGAAGUCACGGGGAAGAAGAGUAAGUUGUCUCCUACAAAUUACUGACAACUUGUCAGAUGACCUUGCCUGGGAGACUUGGAGCUGAGACAGCAGUGGUCUGGGGACCACAUUCUGAAUGGGUAGCUUAGUUACACAGAUCUCUUGCUUUCUGAUUAAACACCAUGUCAGGAACGAACCUGGAGGUGGAUGGGCUUAAGGAGGUGACUGGAUCUCUGCCUCUCUUUCCAAGAUAGCCAAAGUGAAUAAAUCUACUUUUUC